GUGAUAUGAACCGUUAUAACCGGCGAUACCCGAAUGGGGAAACCCAGUGUGAUUCGUCACACUAUCAUUAACUGAAUCCAUAGGUUAAUGAGGCGAACCGGGGGAACUGAAACAUCUAAGUACCCCGAGGAAAAGAAAUCAACCGAGAUUCCCCCAGUAGCGGCGAGCGAACGGGGAGGAGCCCAGAGCCUGAAUCAGCAUGUGUGUUAGUGGAAGCGUCUGGAAAGGCGCGCGAUACAGGGUGACAGCCCCGUACACAAAAGCGCAUGUGCUGUGAGCUCGAUGAGUAGGGCGGGACACGUGGUAUCCUGUCUGAAUAUGGGGGGACCAUCCUCCAAGGCUAAAUACUCCUGACUGACCGAUAGUGAACCAGUACCGUGAGGGAAAGGCGAAAAGAACCCCGGCGAGGGGAGUGAAAAAGAACCUGAAACCGUGUACGUACAAGCAGUGGGAGCNNGUGACUGCGUACCUUUUGUAUAAUGGGUCAGCGACUUAUAUUCUGUAGCAAGGUUAACCGUAUAGGGGAGCCGGAGGGAAACCGAGUCUUAAUUGGGCGUUAAGUUGCAGGGUAUAGACCCGAAACCCGGUGAUCUAGCCAUGGGCAGGUUGAAGGUUGGGUAACACUAACUGGAGGACCGAACCGACUAAUGUUGAAAAAUUAGCGGAUGACCUGUGGCUGGGGGUGAAAGGCCAAUCAAACCGGGAGAUAGCUGGUUCUCCCCGAAAGCUAUUUAGGUAGCGCCUCGUGAAUUCAUCUCCGGGGGUAGAGCACUGUUUCGGCUAGGGGGCCAUCCCGGCUUACCAACCCGAUGCAAACUGCGAAUACCGGAGAAUGUUAUCACGGGAGACACACGGCGGGUGCUAACGUCCGUCGUGAAGAGGGAAACAACCCAGACCGCCAGCUAAGGUCCCAAAGUCAUGGUUAAGUGGGAAACGAUGUGGGAAGGCCCAGACAGCCAGGAUGUUGGCUUAGAAGCAGCCAUCAUUUAAAGAAAGCGUAAUAGCUCACUGGUCGAGUCGGCCUGCGCGGAAGAUGUAACGGGGCUAAACCAUGCACCGAAGCUGCGGCAGCGAACGUAUCACCCAAGACAACUUUACGGAGUUGACGAUUGACGGAGCGAAGCGACGUCAAAGCGUUCAUUAAAGUCGAGUUGGCUUAGGGAUACGUUCGUUGGGUAGGGGAGCGUUCUGUAAGCCUGUGAAGGUGUGUCGUGAGGCAUGCUGGAGGUAUCAGAAGUGCGAAUGCUGACAUAAGUAACGAUAAAGCGGGUGAAAAGCCCGCUCGCCGGAAGACCAAGGGUUCCUGUCCAACGUUAAUCGGGGCAGGGUGAGUCGACCCCUAAGGCGAGGCCGAAAGGCGUAGUCGAUGGGAAACGGGUUAAUAUUCCCGUACUUGGUGUUACUGCGAAGGGGGGACGGAGAAGGCUAUGUUGGCCGGGCGACGGUUGUCCCGGUUUAAGCGUGUAGGUGUGUGUUCCAGGUAAAUCCGGUUCACUUUAACACUGAGGCGUGACGACGAGGCACUACGGUGCUGAAGCAACAAAUGCCCUGCUUCCAGGAAAAGCCUCUAAGCAUCAGGUAACAUCAAAUCGUACCCCAAACCGACACAGGUGGUCAGGUAGAGAAUACCAAGGCGCUUGAGAGAACUCGGGUGAAGGAACUAGGCAAAAUGGUGCCGUAACUUCGGGAGAAGGCACGCUGACACGUAGGUGAAGUGAUUUACUCAUGGAGCUGAAGUCAGUCGAAGAUACCAGCUGGCUGCAACUGUUUAUUAAAAACACAGCACUGUGCAAACACGAAAGUGGACGUAUACGGUGUGACGCCUGCCCGGUGCCGGAAGGUUAAUUGAUGGGGUCAGCGCAAGCGAAGCUCCUGAUCGAAGCCCCGGUAAACGGCGGCCGUAACUAUAACGGUCCUAAGGUAGCGAAAUUCCUUGUCGGGUAAGUUCCGACCUGCACGAAUGGCGUAAUGAUGGCCAGGCUGUCUCCACCCGAGACUCAGUGAAAUUGAACUCGCUGUGAAGAUGCAGUGUACCCGCGGCAAGACGGAAAGACCCCGUGAACCUUUACUAUAGCUUGACACUGAACAUUGAGCCUUGAUGUGUAGGAUAGGUGGGAGGCUUUGAAGUGUGGACGCCAGUCUGCAUGGAGCCGACCUUGAAAUACCACCCUUUAAUGUUUGAUGUUCUAACGUGGACCCGUAAUCCGGGUUGCGGACAGUGUCUGGUGGGUAGUUUGACUGGGGCGGUCUCCUCCUAAAGAGUAACGGAGGAGCACGAAGGUUGGCUAAUCCUGGUCGGACAUCAGGAGGUUAGUGCAAUGGCAUAAGCCAGCUUGACUGCGAGCGUGACGGCGCGAGCAGGUGCGAAAGCAGGUCAUAGUGAUCCGGUGGUUCUGAAUGGAAGGGCCAUCGCUCAACGGAUAAAAGGUACUCCGGGGAUAACAGGCUGAUACCGCCCAAGAGUUCAUAUCGACGGCGGUGUUUGGCACCUCGAUGUCGGCUCAUCACAUCCUGGGGCUGAAGUAGGUCCCAAGGGUAUGGCUGUUCGCCAUUUAAAGUGGUACGCGAGCUGGGUUUAGAACGUCGUGAGACAGUUCGGUCCCUAUCUGCCGUGGGCGCUGGAGAACUGAGGGGGGCUGCUCCUAGUACGAGAGGACCGGAGUGGACGCAUCACUGGUGUUCGGGUUGUCAUGCCAAUGGCACUGCCCGGUAGCUAAAUGCGGAAGAGAUAAGUGCUGAAAGCAUCUAAGCACGAAACUUGCCCCGAGAUGAGUUCUCCCUGAGACUUAGAGUCUCCUGAAGGAACGUUGAAGACGACGACGUUGAUAGGCCGGGUGUGUAAGCGCAGCGAUGCGUUGAGCUAACCGGUACUAAUG
rnacentral:rRNA from 1 species